rnacentral:rRNA from 1 species
GACGAACGCUGGCGGCGUGCUUAACACAUGCAAGUCGAGCGGUAAGGCCCUUUCGGGGGUACACGAGCGGCGAACGGGUGUAGUAACACGUGGGUGACCUGCCCUCAGCUCUGGGAUAAGCCUGGGAAACCGGGGUCUAAUACCGGAUAUGACUCCAUGACGCAUGUUGUGGGGUGGAAAGCCUUGUGCGGCUGAGAUGGGCCCGCGGCCUAUCAGCUUGUUGGUGGGGUGAUGGCCUACCAAGGCGACGACGGGUAGCCGGCCUGAGAGGGCGACCGGCCACACUGGGACUGAGACACGGCCCAGACUCCUACGGGAGGCAGCAGUGGGGAAUCUUGCGCAAUGGGCGAAAGCCUGACGCAGCGACGCCG